rnacentral:rRNA from 1 species
UACGUAGGUGGCAAGCGUUGUCCGGAUUUAUUGGGUUUAAAGGGUGCGUAGGCGGUUUUGUAAGUCAGGGGUGAAAUACUCUAGCUUAACUAGAGGGGUGCCAAUGAUACUGCAGAACUUGAGUACAGAUGAGGUAGGCGGAAUUGACGGUGUAGCGGUGAAAUGCAUAGAUAUCGUCAAGAACACCUAUAGCGAAGGCAGCUUACUGGGCUGUAACUGACGCUGAGGCACGAAAGUGUGGGGAUCAAACAGG